rnacentral:rRNA from 1 species
AAAUGAAUUGACGGGGACUCGCACAAGCGGUGGAGCAUGCGGUUUAAUUCGAUGCAACGCGAAGAACCUUACCAGGUCUUGACAUCCCGUUGACCGGGCUAGAGAUAGUCCUUCCCUUCGGGGCAACGGAGACAGGUGGUGCAUGGUUGUCGUCAGCUCGUGUCGUGAGAUGUUGGGUUAAGUCCCACAACGAGCGCAACCCUUAUCAUUAGUUGCUAACAUUAAGUUGAGAACUCUAAUGAGACCGCCGGUGAUAAACCGGAUGAAGGUGGGGAUGACGUCAAAUCAUCAUGCCCCUUAUGACCUGGGCUACACGCGUGCUACAAUGGCUAGUACAAAGAGUCGCAAUACCGUGAGGUGGAGCUAAUCUCAUAAAACUAGUCUCAGUUCGGAUUGUAGUCUGCAACUCGACUACAUGAAGUUGGAAUCGCUAGUAAUCGCAAAUCAGCAUGUUGCGGUGAAUACGUUCUCGAGUCUUGUACACACCGCCCGU